ensembl:lncRNA
GGGUUAGGGUUAUGGCUUAUAGCAGGGUUAAGGUUAGGGCUUAUAGCAGGGUUAGGGUUAUGGCUUAUAGCAGGGUUAAGGUUAGGGUGUAUAGCAGGGUUAGGGUUAUGGCUUAUAGCAGGGUUAAGGUUAGGGCUUAUAGCAGGGUAAGGGCUAGGGCUUAUAGCAGGGUAAAGGGCUUAUAGCAGGGUAAGGGUUUAGAUUUAUAGCAGGGAAAGGGUUUAGGUUUAUAGCAGGGUUAGGGUUAGGGCUUAUAGCAGGGUUAGGGUUAAGGCUUAUAGCAGGGUUAGGGUUAGGGCUUAUAGCAGGGUUAGGGUUAGGGCUUAUAGCAGGGUUAGGGUUAGGGCUUUAUAGCAGGGUUAGGGCUUAUAGCAGGGUUAGGGUUUAGGUUUAUAGCAGGGUAAGGGUUUAGGUUUAUAGCAGGGUUAAGGUUAUGGUUUAUAGCAGGGUUAGGGUUUAGGUUUAUAGCAGGGUUAUGGCUUAUAGCAGGGUUAGGUUUGGGGAUUAUAGCAGGG